AAACCCAACCUCUCUCCUCCUACGUUUUCUUCUCCACUUAUUUACCGUCGUCGCAACUUUAAAUCACCAUCUCGACUAUCAAUUCUACGACUUGAAAUCGAUAGAGAGAUCGCCGUUAGAUUUUUCUCCGCCUGAUACGAGGCCAUACCGGCAAGAUGAACGAGACCUCUGAGUUUCGUUCUCCUCGCAAUUCCGACGGUCACAACACCCAUACUACCUCGACAUCAUAGCUAUUUCUCUCAGUUUCGGUGAAUUGUGGUGCGGUACUACCUCAAUGCCGGAUCCUAGAUCGAAAUUUGCUUCGAUUAAUCUGUUGGAGAUCGAGAGAUGUGACGGGGGAUCUACUAACCUACCCUUCUUUCCUUUCCCUUUAACAGUUUAACGAUUUUCGCCUCGUCAAUCGAUAUAAUUUUCCUUUCUAUUAACUUAUGUCAUCUUUUAUUUGCUGUGCGGUUAGAUUGCUCAGGUGGAGAUGGAAGUUCUUGUCGUCGGCUUUCAAAUGGAAAAGAAUCUAGAUCGUCGACGUUACUCUCUUCAAGAUCGCCUCUGUUCUUAAGGCGAUUGUUUCGGUCACCACCAUGUCUUUCUUCUACCUUUGUUGCGAAUGUAAGUUUUGAUGACCGGCCGGCAAAGAAAUAUUCAUCUUAGUCCUUGAACUUUUUCCCGACUACAUUUUGAUUCAUAAACUUUAGUAGUUAGCACUAAGUCUACCAACUUUUGACUAUUGUAAUUUGUGGCCCAGGAACUUUCACAAUUAUUGCAAUUAGUACCAUGUGUUACGAACUCAGUUAAAUAAAUACCCAAAUCGAUUUUAAUGUUUUA
rnacentral:lncRNA from 1 species